GAUGUGAAAUCCCCGGGCUCAACCUGGGAACUGCAUUCGAAACUGGCAGGCUAGAGUCUUGUAGAGGGGGGUAGAAUUCCAGGUGUAGCGGUGAAAUGCGUAGAGAUCUGGAGGAAUACCGGUGGCGAAGGCGGCCCCCUGGACAAAGACUGACGCUCAGGUGCGAAAGCGUGGGGAGCAAACAGGAUUAGAUACCCUGGUAGUCCACGCCGUAAACGAUGUCGACUUGGAGGUUGUGCCCUUGAGGCGUGGCUUCCGGAGCUAACGCGUUAAGUCGACCGCCUGGGGAGUACGGCCGCAAGGUUAAAACUCAAAUGAAUUGACGGGGGCCCGCACAAGCGGUGGAGCAUGUGGUUUAAUUCGAUGCAACGCGAAGAACCUUACCUACUCUUGACAUCCAGAGAACUUACCAGAGAUGCUUUGGUGCCUUCGGGAACUCUGAGACAGGUGCUGCAUGGCUGUCGUCAGCUCGUGUUGUGAAAUGUUGGGUUAAGUCCCGCAACGAGCGCAACCCUUAUCC
rnacentral:rRNA from 1 species